GAUGAACGCUGGCGGCGUGCUUAACACAUGCAAGUCGAACGAGAAGUGAAGACGGAAACCUUCGGGCGGAAGGCUUUAUUUCGAGUGGCGGACGGGUGAGUAACGCGUGGGUAACCUGCCUCAUACAGGGGGAUAACAGUUGGAAACGACUGUUAAUACCGCAUAAGACCACAGCACCGCAUGGUGCGGGGGUAAAAACUCCGGUGGUAUGAGAUGGACCCGCGUUCGAUUAGCCAGUUGGCGGGGUAACGGCCCACCAAAGCGACGAUCGAUAGCCGAUCUGAGAGGAUGACCGGCCACAUUGGGACUGAGACACGGCCCAAACUCCUACGGGAGGCAGCAGUGGGGAAUAUUGCACAAUGGGGGAAACCCUGACGCAGCGACGCCGCGUGAGUGAAGAAGUAUUUCGGUAUGUAAAGCUCUAUCAGCAGGGAAGAAAAUGACGGUACCUGAGUAAGAAGCCCCGGCUAACUACGUG
rnacentral:rRNA from 1 species